GAUGAACGCUGGCGGCGUGCCUAAUACAUGCAAGUCGAGCGAACAGACGAGGAUCUUGCUCCUCUGACGUUAGCGGCGGACGGGUGAGUAACACGUGGAUAACCUACCUAUAAGACUGGGAUAACUUCGGGAAACCGGAGCUAAUACCGGAUAAUAUAUUGAACCGCAUGGUUCAAUAGUGAAAGACGGUUUUGCUGUCACUUAUAGAUGGAUCCGCGCCGGAUUAGCUAGUUGGUAAGGUAACGGCUUACCAAGGCAACGAUGCGUAGCCGACCUGAGAGGGUGAUCAGCCACACUGGAACUGAGACACGGUCCAGACUCCUACGGGAGGCAGCAGUAGGGAAUCUUCCGCAAUGGGCGAAAGCCUGACGGAGCAACGCCGCGUGAGUGAUGAAGGUCUUCGGAUCGUAAAACUCUGUUAGUAGGGAAGAACAAAAGUGUAAGUAACUAUGCACGUCUUGACGGUACCUAAUCAGAAAGCCACGGCUAACUACGUG
rnacentral:rRNA from 1 species